rnacentral:rRNA from 1 species
AGAGUUUGAUCCUGGCUCAGAACGAACGCUGGCGGCAGGCCUAACACAUGCAAGUCGAACGUGAAGCCACCUUCGGGUGGUGGAAAGUGGCAGACGGGUGAGUAACGCGUGGGAACGUGCCCUUCGGUUCGGGAUAACCCAGGGAAACUUGGGCUAAUACCGGAUACGCCCUUCGGGGGAAAAAUUUAUUGCCGAAGGAUCGGCCCGCGUCGGAUUAGCUUGUUGGUGGGGUAAAAGCCUACCAAGGCGACGAUCCGUAGCUGGUCUGAGAGGAUGAUCAGCCACACUGGGACUGAGACACGGCCCAGACUCCUACGGGAGGCAGCAGUGGGGAAUAUUGGACAAUGGGCGCAAGCCUGAUCCAGCCAUGCCGCGUGGGUGAAGAAGGCCUUAGGGUUGUAAAUCCCUUUCAGCGGGGAAGAUAAUGACGGUACCCGCAGAAGAAGCCCCGGCUAACUCCGUGCCAGCAGCCGCGGUAAUACGGAGGGGGCUAGCGUUGUUCGGAAUUACUGGGCGUAAAGCGCGCGUAGGCGGACCUGCAAGUCGGGGGUGAAAGCCCGAGGCUCAACCUCGGAACUGCCUUCGAUACUGCGGGUCUUGAGUCCGGGAGAGGUGAGUGGAAUUCCUAGUGUAGAGGUGAAAUUCGUAGAUAUUAGGAAGAACACCAGUGGCGAAGGCGGCCCACUGGCCCGGUACUGA